rnacentral:rRNA from 1 species
UACGGGGGGGGCAAGCGUUGUUCGGAAUUACUGGGCGUAAAGGGCGCGUAGGCGGCCUGCUAAGUCACACGUGAAAUCCCUCGGCUCAACCGGGGAACUGCGUGUGAUACUGGCGGGCUUGAAUUCGGGAGAGGGAUGUGGAAUUCCAGGUGUAGCGGUGAAAUGCGUAGAUAUCUGGAGGAACACCGGUGGCGAAGGCGGCAUCCUGGACCGAGAUUGACGCUGAGGCGCGAAAGCUAGGGGAGUAAACGGGAGUUAGA